rnacentral:rRNA from 1 species
GAUGAACGCUGGCGGCGUGCCUAAUACAUGCAAGUCGAGCGAACGGACGAGAAGCUUGCUUCUCUGAUGUUAGCGGCGGACGGGUGAGUAACACGUGGAUAACCUACCUAUAAGACUGGGAUAACGUCGGGAAACCGGAGCUAAUACCGGAUAAUAUUUUGAACCGCAUGGUUCAAAAGUGAAAGACGGUCUUGCUGUCACUUAUAGAUGGAUCCGCGCUGCAUUAGCUAGUUGGUAAGGUAACGGCUUACCAAGGCAACGAUGCAUAGCCGACCUGAGAGGGUGCUCGGCCACACUGGAACUGAGACACGGUCCAGACUCCUACGGGAGGCCGCCGUAUGGAAUCUUCCGCAAUGGGCGAAAGCCUGACGGAGCAACGCCGCGUGAGUGAUGACGGUCUUCGGAUCGUAAAACUCUGUUAUUAGGGAAGAACAUAUGUGUAAGUAACUGUGCACAUCUUGACGGUACCUAGUCAGAAAGCCACGGCUAACUACGUG